rnacentral:rRNA from 1 species
GAUGAACGCUGGCGGCUUUCCUAAUACAUGCAAGUCGAGCGAAGCGGGGACGGGUGAUUAACACGUCGAUAACCUCCUAUCAGACUGUGCUAACUUCGGGAAACCCGAGCUAAACCUGAUACUUAUAUAUGGCUCCUCGCUGCAUUAGCUCGUUGUUAAGUUAACGGCUUACCAAGGCAACGAUGCAUAGCCGACCUGAGAGGGUGAGCGGCCACACGGGAACGUAGACACGGUCCAGACUCCUACGGGAGGCAGCAGUAGGGAAUCUUCCGCAAUGGGCGAAAGCCUGACGGAGCAACGCCGCGUGAGUGAUGAAGGUCUUCGGAUCGUAAAACUCUGUUAUUAGGGAAGCGGUACCUAAUCAGAAAGCAACGGCUAACUACGUGCCAGCAGCCGCGGUAAUAC